AGUGAACGCUGGCGGUAGGCCUAACACAUGCAAGUCGAACGGCAGCACAGGAGAGCUUGCUCUCUGGGUGGCGAGUGGCGGACGGGUGAGGAAUACAUCGGAAUCUACCUUUUCGUGGGGGAUAACGUAGGGAAACUUACGCUAAUACCGCAUACGACCUACGGGUGAAAGUGGGGGACCGCAAGGCCUCACGCGAUUAGAUGAGCCGAUGUCCGAUUAGCUAGUUGGCGGGGUAAUGGCCCACCAAGGCGACGAUCGGUAGCUGGUCUGGGAGGAUGAUCAGCCACACUGGAACUGAGACACGGUCCAGACUCCUACGGGAGGAAGCAGUGGGGGAUAUUGGACAAUGGGCGCAAGCCUGAUCCAGCCAUACCGCGUGGGUGAAGAAGGCCUUCGGGUUGUAAAGCCCUUUUGUUGGGAAAGAAAUCCUGUCGAUUAAUACUCGGUGGGGAUGACGGUACCCAAAGAAUAAGCACCGGCUAACUUCGUGCCAGCCGCCGCAGUAAUAC
rnacentral:rRNA from 1 species